AAACCACUUCAGGUCGCAGUACCUGUACCUCGUGUAAUAUUUUUGCACCGACAGUUUCUUAUGGGUCGUGUGGUUGGGAGCUAGCCCACUACCCCCGCAACUCCUUUUCUUCUUGGGUUUCUGAUGGAGUGUGUCGGCAGUGAGCGGUUGGGGAAUCAGAACUUGCGAGCGGCGAGCGGGUGGGCGUUCGGCGGCGAGAGGUAGGGAGGCUUGGUGUCCAAGCGAGCGGCGAGAGGUAGGCGUGCUCUGCGCUGACUGUGUUAGCGUCCUCGUCGGCGGGUGAAAUCAGCAGCCACGUGGUCGGUCGUCCGAAGCGGCGGCAAUGGCGGCGUGGUGUGAUUGGCUUCAACAGAACUUACAUCCACUCGAGCGGAAGGGGACGAGCGGCCGUUGGGUGGCGGUAGCUGGUGACUUCGGCGGCCUCACCCUCAGAUUCUGUGCGUACUGGCGCAUCCCCUGCAAUUGCAAGGUCUCAGGUCAGUCUGGGGCAAUGGCGGCGUGGUGACCGCGUCAGCAGCCUGGCCGGUCCGCGCGGCGGGUGGUGGCUGAGAGUGGCCUCAGCAUCGGUGCAGGGGGUGGUGGUUGCGGGUUGCAUCGCAGUGAGUGGCAGACCCCCCUGAGCUGUGUUGUGGGUCGAUUCACGGCGAGCGGAGAACGCCGGUGAACUUCAACGUAAGGUACGGCAGUAGCGGAGCCAGGAAAACAACCAUGUGUUGUCAGCUUGAUGUUGUGUAAUCAAACACAUGUAUUUCUAUAAAUUUUUAAUAUUUUUUCUACACACUUUCAGCUUGUUUGUCAAAAAACUGUGUAGUCAUUUGACUACGCAGCUUAGACGUGGCUCCGCCACUGAGGUACGGUAGCUGGCCAUUCUGUUCUGUGAAAGUUUUUGUAUGUGAAAUCACCUAGGAUGAUGUCAAUUACAUCAUACUCUUCAUGGUAUGCAAAGAAAAUCCUUAACCUUACCCCUGGCCUCUUUCCGGUCAGUUCAUCUGGUAGGCAGAUGCACUGAUUCAGUUUAAAACUUAAAACUACCAACCACUAUUCUCUCAUCCCCAUCUUCAAUAGUUUGCAAAUGUCAUAUUUCAGAGGUCAAACUCUAGGAUUGAUAGAUUAUUCUAUUAGAAUGAGUAUAACCAACUGUAGAUUAAACACCUUUGAAAAAAAUACGAGAGCCAAGAGAGGCAGGACGUGUUUCAUUUUUGCACAGGGAUGAGUAAAGUUGGAUCUAGAGAGAACAAAUAGCAAGUACAGUGGAACUCGAAAGCACAAUCUAUCAUGUUAACAUUUUCAGCUUGCGGCACACGAUAAAACGACUUUCUGAAAAUGAAUAUAAAGUGAAUCCAAGAAUAAAGUUACUUUUACAAUUAUCAUUUUCUUAGGUUGUCUAUCCAUGUAAUAUACAUAAAAAUAUCAGGGCAAUAAAAUGCCUUUCCCUAUCAGACUUUUAUGGUCUAGUUGAGUAACAUGGGAUGGAGCUCAGGAAUAAAUGUCCAUUCGAGGACAUUGCAUAUGUAUUAACAAUUUACCAUUCUGAACAAAGCUCCUCUACUGAAACCGAACACGGUAGUUGUACUGUCUGAUUUAUACAAGAGACUCUCUGAAAUAUUCCCAGAAAUCUGAUGUUGUAAUGGUUCGUACCUCUUUUCUGCCAGACCUGAAUGUUUGCUGAAAAUUCAGCCUUUGUGCUAGCAAUUUCGAGUUGUUUUCAAAUAUUACGCUCCAUCCUUGUUAGUCACAAGCUUGUCUUGGGCAUGCUCCGCCUUAACCCGAACAAGCUGCAACACCUAUUUAACAACAACAGUUGGAGAGUCAUGUAUCUAUUUUCCUUGUCAGUGUUUUCUGAUUACCUAGAACUGAUGCAAUUGCUUCACUGCCGGUUCAUGUUUACUGUAUAUUUUUCACUAGGAUAAUGUGCUCUAGAUAGGAUGCUCCUGUUUGAGAAAUAACACUAGGUGACUCAGCUACAUACAUUUAAACAAAAAUGGGAAUAUAAUAAUACCAUCCUCAUAAAUUUAUUUUUAUUUUUCAUGUCUUAGGUGCAUCUUAUUUUAGUUGUUUUAGUAACUCUUAUUGUCUUGCUUUUGUGCAUGUGGUCUGAUGUUAGUGCUAGGAAGGCCACCACCAACAUUAGUAGACAAUGGUUUUGAGUCCCUCAAAGAUUGGUCCAGGUCGAGGAAAUCCCAGAACAAAGGUUGUUCCUUACGCUACUGUCUUCCAUGGAACCCAACCACCGAAGAGCAGCAGGAGAAAUAAACAUUUAAGUUCCAAGCUACUUUCUCCUUUGAAGUUCCACCGAACAAAUUAGUGUGUCAGAUUCUUCUUGUAGUCUUGUUAGCGCCUUUGCUCUGCAGGAAAUCUUCGUAUGUGACAUAAGUUUGAUGGAGUAAGUAUUACUUAUGCCUUGUUUUUAUUUUUUGAUUCUGACUAUUUGUUAUUUUAUAAUCAUUUCAAACUCUGGCAGAUCUAAUGUUAUAUGCAAUGCUUCCCUUGGCGUGAGAAAGUGCUCACGUGGUGAGGCUUUGGCUCUGUCUUUCAAGUACAGCGUGUUGACCUUGAUCGUUGGAGAGUCAGCUUCAUUGUAACAUUGACCCGGCAUUUUCAUUCAGUCCACUUAAUGCCUUAUGAUGGUAUCCUUUUAGUCUUGUGAAUUCUCAUCAAUAGUUUUUGUGUUGCAGACAGAGAUGAAUCAGCAUAGCUCGCCUGCGUCAUCUUAAAUGAUUUGAAUCAAACCAGGCCUUUACCCGAUUCUUUGGAGAAGUUCAGACCGAUGGAAAUUCAUAUCUAAAAAACUUGAUUUGAAACUCCCCUUGUACAUACUCUCCCUAAAACAAACUGCACUCUUGUAUAUAGCUGAAUAUCUUUAUUCUCGUGUCCUGUCCAUGUAAUGUACUACUUGCUUAUGAAUGCUUCCUUCUAUUGGAGUCAUCUAGCAGAUCAUAUCCGGAAUUGUUGUACUGCAAGAAUGAUUGAUGUCACCUAAGUGACAUUUUGUAAUUCACAUUUUUUAUGUCCCAUCGUAUACCAUAUUUUACA